UAGCCAAAAAUACACUGUAUGGGUCAAAAUUAUAGAUUUUUCUUUUAUGCCAAAAAUCAUUAGGAUAUUAAGUAAAGAUCAUGUUCCAUGAAGAUAUUUUAUAAAUUUCUUACCAUAAAUACAUCAAAACUUAAUUUUUAAUUAGUAAUAUGCAUUGCUAAGAACUUCAUUUGGACAACUUUAAAGGUGAUUUUCUCAAUAUUUUUUAUUUUUUUGCACCCUCAGAUUCCAGAUUUUCAAAUAGUUAUGGUUUUGUGGUCCAUGGUCACAUUUAACAUCAUAACCCUGUCUGUGAUCUGUCUCAGAUCCGUUGGCUGUUGGAGGAUGAGAUAGUCUCUGCUCUGCGGCACUCGUCUUUAUCAGCUCCUCCACGCUGCAGAAAGUGUGUCGCUCCAGCGGCCGCCCGUGCCACUGUGAGGUCAUUCCUCUGCAGUUCGUAUUUGGUCCCGAGCAGUCGCUGGUAAAGUUUCAAGAGGAGUUCAAGAGGUUAUCGCUUCCUGGUUACCUGCUGAACGCCGAGCAGCACAACUUCCACUACAUCUCACUGAGUCAACAGCAGUUUCUCAGGCUUCAGGCCAUGAGACAGCUGUCUAACAUCUCUGCUCAGUACUCAACGUCUCGGCAGAGCAGCCUGUGUCCUGAGGUGGAGGACGGAGCCAGAGCAUCAGCAAACAGAGAAACAGAGUCCAAGAGAAAAGAGCCCGACACUGAGGUAAUUAUCAGCAAUCUUUAAAACCAUACCUGAAGAAAUGCAUUGCAUUUGUUUAAUGAUGAAGUUUUCACAUUAACUUUAAAAUAAAGUGUGGUUUAAGUAAAUGUAACACUCAGAUUUAACAAAGUUGACUUGAUGUCUAUUGCCACAUGGGCCGCUGUCUUAUAAAUCAGCAUACUGUCUGAAAUGGAAAGUAAAAGUUACGAAAUGCCCUGCAUAUAAGUGGCACGCCUCACAUGAAACUCAACUCAAAAUCGAGGCCGUUUUAUUCCUAAUUUAUUAUUCAUUAUUGUCAGCCACUUUAAACAUUGUAAACACAGUUUGAACAUUAGCACUGCACUGUGCUUACAUACAGGUAAAUAAAAAACUUAAAUGAUUAAAUUAAAAUGUACUGUACCUAAAAGUUAAAUAAAAACUGUAUGGUAAUUAAAAAGUAAAAAACUAAACUGUACUGUACUUAAAUGUAAAGUAAAAAAAAUGUACAGUACUUGAUGAAAAAAUUAACCCAGGCAUCAUUUAGCCACCUUGCACACUUUUUAAAAUGUUUUAACAUGAAUUUAUAUUUAAUUCAGUGAUUCCUCUGCGUUUGACUUUGACCACAGUCUCAAACAGGAUUUUUCACAUUGCAGUGCAUUUUGGGAUUGCCUUUUUCAACAAAGCAUACACUGUCACAAGUUCUGUAUGAUUUUCACUAUGUAAGAAAUUAACAUUUAUUUGUAUUCAAUUUUAAGAAUUAGUUUUAUUCAGCAAGGAUGCAUAAAAAAAUCAAAUAUGUUUAUAAUGUUACAAAAGAUUUUUAUUUUAAAUGAAUGCUGCUGUUUUGAACUUUCUUUUUAUUAAAAAGGAUCCUGAAAAAUAAAAAGUAUCAUGGUUUCCACAAAAAAUAUUCGGCAGCACAACUCUUUUCAACAUUGAUAAUAAUCAGAAAUGUUUCUUAGAAUGAUUUCUGAAGGAUCAUGUGACACUGAAGACUGGAGUAAUGAUGCUGAAAAUUCAGCUUUGAUCACAGGAAUAAAUUAGAUUUUACAAUACAUUUACAUAAAAAAACAGUUAUUUUAAAUUGUAAUAAUAUUCCACAAUAUUAUUGUUUUUACUGUAUUUUUAAUCAAAUAAAUGCAGCUUUAAAGAGAACAUUAAAAAACUGACCCAAAACAUAUGAAACUAUUAAACUAUAUAUGAUUACUAUGAUAUAAACUAUGAUAUGAUAUGAUUUUAAAUCUGUAUUUUACCUCAGAACAAUCUCAAAGUAAAAAGAGGUGCUAAAGUCUAAAGUUUGUGGUGGCUGUGCUUUGAAAUUAUAUUAGUAUAAUCUUAAUUCAAGUGAUGAAGGAUUUUGAAAAUCAGACAGGUAUAAUGUUGAGUAGUACUGUAAGGUUAACCCUGCCUGCUUUACAUGUUUUAGAAUGAUUACCAGUUUAGAAAAAUUUUGAAAUUUGAAUUUUGAAAAGUAGCCUAAUCAAAAAGUAAUCAAAUGCAAGCAGUUACAUUACUUUAAUAAAGCAAUUUAAAUAGUUACACUACUUACUGCAUUUUAAAUAGGGCAACUCAUAAUCUGUAACCUGUUACAUUUCCAAAGUAACAUUCCCAACACUGGACUCUAAUGAGGUGAAAAGUUGCAAAAAAGGCUUGCAUACUAUGAGGAUGAAAAAGACAACAAAGCAUUUCAAUGGCAAUUACAGUGGCAUGUGCAAGAGUCAUCAUAAAGGAAUAUUUUAACCAAAAAUAGAAAAUUUAAAACUGAAAAUGUUCUCACCCUCAGGCCAUCCAAGAUGUAGAUGAGUUUGUUUCAUCAUCAGAUUUGGAGAUAUGUAGCAUUUCAUCACUUGUUCAUCAGCGAAUGCUCUGCAGUGAAUGGGUGCCGUCAGAAUGAGAGUCCAAACAGCUGAUACAAACAUACCAAUAAUCCACACCACUCCAGUCCAUCAGUUAAGAUCUCGUGAAGCAAAAAGCUGCAUGUUUGUAAGAAACAAAUCCAAAAGUGGUCUGAUCUGAAUCAGGAAAGAAAUCUGCAUAGAUCAAAACACCGUUUUGAUUAACAAAUAUGUGGGUGGAUUUCGGUGUGAGAGACAACAGGGGAUGAACUUUUUCACUGGAGGGAGCAUUAUUAUGGAUUUUGGCCAGAAGUCUGAAGUUAAAAAGUCUUAAUGAUGGAUUUGUUUCUUUUGGCUUCACAAGAUGUUAGCUGAUGGACUGGAGUGGUGUGGAUUACUUGUGGAUUACUGUGAUGUUUUUAUCAGCUGUUUCUCACGGCACCCAUUCACUGCAGAGCAUCCAUUGCUGAGCAAGUGAUGCAAUGCUACAUUUCUCCAAAUCUGAUGAAGAAACAAACGCAUCUACAUCUUAGAUGACCUAAAUGUGAGGACAUUUUCAGCAGAUUUUUAUUUUGGGGUGAACUAUUCCUUUAAAACAAAGAUCAAUAACAGUUGAAUAUGUCACAUGAUUUUGG
ensembl:lncRNA